UGGGGAAUUUUGGACAAUGGGCGCAAGCCUGAUCCAGCCAUGCCGCGUGCAGGAUGAAGGCCUUCGGGUUGUAAACUGCUUUUGUACGGAACGAAAAGGUGCCUUCUAAUAAAGGGCGCUCAUGACGGUGCCGUAAGAAUAAGCACCGGCUAACUACGUGCCAGCAGCCGCGGUAAUACGUAGGGUGCGAGCGUUAAUCGGAAUUACUGGGCGUAAAGCGUGCGCAGGCGGUUUUGUAAGACAGAGGUGAAAUCCCCGGGCUCAACCUGGGAACUGCCUUCGUGACUGCAAGGCUGGAGUGCGGCAGAGGGGGAUGGAAUUCCGCGUGUAGCAGUGAAAUGCGUAGAUAUGCGGAGGAACACCGAUGGCGAAGGCAAUCCCCUGGGCCUGCACUGACGCUCAUGCACGAAAGCGUGGGGAGCAAACA
rnacentral:rRNA from 1 species